GCUGCCGGAAGACCCCGCCCCUCUUCCAGCAUCCUCCCACCUCGUGGCUCUGCCUGUGCUCCCCACUAACCUGCAGAGCCAUGGUGCUCCUGAAGUGAUGUGCCGGAGCCAGCUAGCCACCUGCAUUUGCUGCCUCCCCUAAGGUAUGCCUCUAAUACUCUAUGAAAGAAUGGGAAAGAAACCACAAAGAUGACUGGAA